rnacentral:rRNA from 1 species
GUGCAGCAGUCGCGAAAACUUUACAAUGCGGGAAACCGCGAUAAGGGGACACCGAGUGCCAGCAUAUUAUGUUGGCUGUCCACAUGUGUAAACGGCAUGUGUUAGCAAGGGCCGGGCAAGACCGGUGCCAGCCGCCGCGGGUAACACCGGCGGCCCGAGUGGUAAUCACUUUUAUUGGGUCUAAAGGGUCCGUAGCCGGUUUGAUCAGUUCUUCGGGAAAUCUGACAGCUCAACUGUUAGGCUUCCGGGGAAUACUGUCAGACUUGGGACCGGGAGAGGUAAGAGGUACUACAGGGGUAGGAGUGAAAAUCUUGUAAUCCCUGUGGGACCACCAGUGGCGAAGGCGUCUUACCAGAACGGGUCCGACGGUGAGGGACGAAAGCUGGGGGCACGAACCGGAUUAGAUA